GGUCGGUUAGCUCAGUUGGCAGAGCAUCGCAAUUACAUUCAUAUCCAAUACGAGUAUGUUGGAGAAUUACUGCGAAGGCCAUAGGUUCAAGCCCUAUACUGACCA